rnacentral:lncRNA from 1 species
AGUUAUUGUUGCUAGUGGGCUGGGUCGUUACAGAUGGUAUCAGAGCCGGUUCACCAGCUGGACAUGUGUGGCGAGUCUCGGCUGAGCCAGGGUCUGGAUGACGGGCUAGCGAGACGAGUCUCACAUCGCCUGGUGAUCUUGGGCUGUGUGUGUGAUUGGACUGACGAGGACGUCAGGGCCUUAACGGGGGGAGUCUGUGACACCCCAAUAGUCCCACAUCGGAUGGGAAUGGGGUUGUCAUUGGGUUUAUAAGAGACUUAGACACUAGUAAUAAUAACUGGGCUUAAGCAUUUUGGGCCGGUGGUUGGGCCCAACGAGUUAUUGUUGCUAGUGGGCUGGGUCGUUACAUUUGGUAUCAGAGCCGGUUCACCAGCUGAACAUGUGUGGCGAGUCUCGGCUGAGCCAGGGUCUGGAUGACGGGCUAGCGAGACGAGUCUCACAUAGCCUGGUGAUCUUGGGCUGUGUGUGAUUGCACUGACGAGGACGUCAGGACCUUAACAGGGGGAGUCUGUGACACCCCAAUAGUCCCACAUCGGAUGGGAAUGGGGUUGUCAUUGGGUUUAUAAGAGACUUAGACACUAGUAAUAAUAACUGGGCUUAAGCAUUUUGGGCCGGUGGUUGGGCCCAACGAGUUAUUGUUGCUAGUGGGCUGGGUCGUUACAUUUGGUAUCAGAGCCGGUUCACCAGCUGGACAUGUGUGGCGAGUCUCGGCUGAGCCAGGGUCUGGAUGACGGGCUAGCGAGAUGAGUCUCACAUCGCCUGGU